UUUAUGGAGAGUUUGAUCCUGGCUCAGGAUGAACGCUGGCGGCGUGCCUAAUACAUGCAAGUCGAGCGAACUGACGAGGAGCUUGCUCCUUUGACGUUAGCGGCGGACGGGUGAGUAACACGUGGGUAACCUACCUAUAAGACUGGAAUAACUCCGGGAAACCGGGGCUAAUGCCGGAUAACAUAUCGAACCGCAUGGUUCGAUAGUGAAAGACGGUCUUGCUGUCACUUAUAGAUGGACCCGCGCCGUAUUAGCUAGUUGGUGAGGUAACGGCUCACCAAGGCAACGAUACGUAGCCGACCUGAGAGGGUGAUCGGCCACACUGGAACUGAGACACGGUCCAGACUCCUACGGGAGGCAGCAGUAGGGAAUCUUCCGCAAUGGGCGAAAGCCUGA
rnacentral:rRNA from 1 species